rnacentral:rRNA from 1 species
GAACCUCCCGGGCCACCCGGCCUGCGGCGGAAUGUUGCGUUAAGGGAAAGGUCAUAUUCAUACCCAUCAGUCACGCGAGCGCUAAGUCAGCUACGAAUUGGCUAUCCCGACUAACGGAGGGACUGACUCCACGGAGGGUGUAAGACCCGUGUGGGCGCGUGUUAAAGCUGAUUGGGGUUGGCCUCUUUUCCCUGAGAGUCGCGUUGCUCUGGCAUGCAGCGCUAAGCAGGUCGUAAACUCGAUCUAAGGCUAAAUAUUUCCACAGGCCCGAUAGCGAACAAGUACCGUGAGGGAAAGUUGAAAAGCACUCUGAAGAGAGAGUCAAAAGACCGUGAAACCGCUCAGAGUAUAAGCCCAUGGAGCUCGGAAGGCAUACCGCAGUCCUGAAACAAGGUCGGCUUGCAUGAAUGGUCCGUCAGGCAGUGGCAUUGAGUUGAUAACACGCUGACGUGCGGGGGAGGACACUGGUCGCGUAGACGGGCUUCGGCCCGUUUUGCACGUGCCAGCUACUCCCUUGAGCACGGACGUUCAAGGGUGCUUGCCGUAUGCGGAAACGCCCACCACGUCUCGUUGCGUGGUCACCCACAGGCUCGACUGUCGAUCGCGUGUUCACCUCGUUCGCAAAGAUGUGUCGAAGCAUGUCCUAGGCCCCCCGCUAGGGGUCGGGACCGACACUUGCG